rnacentral:rRNA from 1 species
AUACGUAGGGGGCAAGCGUUAUCCGGAUUUACUGGGUGUAAAGGGAGCGUAGACGGAAGGCCAAGUCUGAUGUGAAAGCCCGCGGCUCAACUGCGGGACUGCAUUGGAAACUGGUCAUCUGGAGUGCAGGAGGGGUAAGCGGAAUUCCUAGUGUAGCGGUGAAAUGCGUAGAUAUUAGGAGGAACACCGGUGGCGAAGGCGGUUUACUGGCCUGUAACUGGAGUUGAGGCUCGAAAGCGUGGGGAGAAACCAGGAUUAGAUACCCGGGUAGUCCACGCCGUAAACGAUGAAUACUAGGUGUCGGGUUUCUAUAGAGAUUCGGUGCCGCAGCAAACGCAAUAAGUAUUCCACCUGGGGAGUACGUUCGCAAGAAUGAAACUCAAAUGAAUUGACGGGG